rnacentral:rRNA from 1 species
UGGUCAAGUUAUUAAGGGUGCAGGGCGGAUGCCUUGGCACUAGGAGCCGAUGAAGGACGUGAUAAGCUGCGAUAAGCUUCGGGGAGUUGCACGUAAACUUUGAUCCGAAGAUUUCCGAAUGAGGAAACUCACUUAGAGUAAUGUCUAAGUAUCAUUAAGUGAAUACAUAGCUUAAUGAGGGGAACUCAGGGAACUGAAACAUCUAAGUACCUGAAGGAAGAGAAAGAAAUUCGAUUCCGUAAGUAGCGGCGAGCGAACGCGGAUUAGCCCAAACCAAUAAAGUUUUCUUUAUUGGGGUUGCGGACAUAUCAUAACGAAGAGGUAUCGUAAUUGAAGAGGUUUGGAAAGACCCACCACAGAAGGUAAUAGUCCUGUAUGUUAAACGAGAAGACUUUAGAUAUGAUCCAGAGUACCACGGGACACGUGAAACCCUGUGGGAAGCAGGAGGGACCACCCUCCAAGGCUAAAUACUACCUAGUGACCGAUAGCGUAUAGUACCGUGAGGGAAAGGUGAAAAGAACCCCGGGAGGGGAGUGAAAUAGAACCUGAAACCCUGCACUUACAAGCUGUGGAAGCACAUUUCUUGUGUGACCGCGUACUUUUUGUAGAACGGGCCAACGAGUUACGUUAAGUAGCAAGGUUAAGCACUUAAGGUGCGGAGCCGUAGCGAAAGCGAGUUUUAACUGAGCGUUCAGUUACUUGACGUAGACCCGAAACCGGGCGACCUACCCAUGAGCAGGAUGAAGCGAAAGUAAAAUUUCGUGGAGGUCCGAACCCACGAGCGUUGAAAAGCUCGGGGAUGACUUGUGGGUAGCGGUGAAAUUCCAAUCGAGCCCGGAGAUAGCUGGUUCUCCCCGAAAUAGCUUUAGGGCUAGCCUCAAGGGGAGAGAUACGGAGGUAGAGCACUGAAUGUCCUAGGGGGUAUUGCACCUACCGAAGACUAUCAAACUCCGAAUGCCGUCAUCUUAUACUUGGGAGUCAGACUGUGGGUGAUAAGAUUCAUAGUCGAAAGGGCAACAGCCCAGAUCGUCAGCUAAGGUCCCUAAAUGUAAGUUAAGUGGUAAAGGAUGUGGGAUUGCACAGACAACCAGGAUGUUGGCUUAGAAGCAGCCACUCAUUCAAAGAGUGCGUAAUAGCUCACUGGUCGAGUGAUCCUGCGCCGAAGAUUUCCGGGGCUAAAACUUACUACCGAAGCUACGGCAUCAGUAAUGAUGGGUAGGGGAGCUUCCCAUACGGGUUGAAGCAUGACCGUAAGGACAUGUGGACAGUAUGGGAGUGAGAAUGUUGGCAUGAGUAGCGAGAUGUGGGUGAGAAUCCCACAGGCCGUAAACCCAAGGUUUCCAGGGGAAGGUUCGUCCGCCCUGGGUUAGUCCGGGACCUAAGCUGAGGCCGAAAGGCGUAGGUGAUGGACAACAGGUUGAUAUUCCUGUACUACCGAUAACCGUUUGAGAGAAGGGAUGACACAGUAGGAUAAGCUAAGCACACUGUUGGUUAUGUGUGCCCAAGCAUUGAGGCAGUCAAAGUAGGCAAAUCCGCUUUGAUAAUGCUGGGAUGUGAUGGGGAGCGAAAUUUAGUAGCGAAGUAGCUGAUUUCACACUGUCAAGAAAAGUCUCUAUCGAGGUUAAAGGUACCCGUACCGCAAACCGACACAGGUGGGUGAGGAGAGUAUCCUAAGGCCAGCGAGAGAACUGUUGUUAAGGAACUCGGCAAAAUGACCCCGUAACUUAGGGAUAAGGGGUGCCACCAUCAGGUGGCCGCAGAGAAUAGGCCCAAGCGACUGUUUACCAAAAACAUAGGUUUCUGCUAAGUCGCAAGACGAUGUAUAGGAGCUGACGCCUGCCCGGUGCUGGAAGGUUAAGGGGAUCUGUUAGAGCAAUCGAAGCAGUGAACUUAAGCCCCAGUAAACGGCGGCCGUAACUAUAACGGUCCUAAGGUAGCGAAAUUCCUUGUCGGGUAAGUUCCGACCCGCACGAAAGGCGUAACGAUUUGGGCACUGUCUCAACAACAGACUCGGUGAAAUUGUAAUUCCGGUGAAGAUGCCGGAUACCUGCGACAGGACGGAAAGACCCCAUGGAGCUUUACUGUAGCUUGACAUUGGGUCUUGGUACUACAUGUACAGGAUAGGUGGGAGGCUUUGAAACCAGGACGCCAGUUUUGGCGGAGCCAUCCUUGGGAUACCACCCUUGUAGUACUGGGACUCUAACCAUAGGCCAUGAAUCUGGUCUUGGGACACUGUCAGGUGGGCAGUUUGACUGGGGCGGUCGCCUCCCAAAAGGUAACGGAGGCGCUCAAAGGUUCUCUCAGUACGGUCGGAAAUCGUACGUAGAGUGUAAAGGCAAAAGAGAGCUUGAUUGCAAGACAUACAGGUCGAGCAAGGAUGAAAAUCGGACUUAGUGAUCCGGUGGUUCUGCGUGGAAGGGCCAUCGCUCAACGGAUAAAAGCUACCCUGGGGAUAACAGGCUUAUCUCCCCCAAGAGUCCACAUCGACGGGGAGGUUUGGCACCUCGAUGUCGGCUCAUCACAUCCUGGGGCUGUAGUAGGUCCCAAGGGUUGGGCUGUUCGCCCAUUAAAGUGGUACGCGAGCUGGGUUCAGAACGUCGUGAGACAGUUCGGUCCCUAUCCGUCGCAGGCGUAGGAAAUUUGAGAAGACCUGUCCUUAGUACGAGAGGACCGGGAUGGACGUACCUCUGGUGUACCAGUUGUCCUGCCAAGGGCAUGGCUGGG